UUCCCAAAAGGUGACCGGGACCCCCCCCAGGACACUCUGGACACGUCUCCGGACACUCCGGACACGUCUCCGGCCGCUCCGGACAGCGCCGGAGCCACCAUCUACGCCCAGGUGCAGAAGCCCAAAGGAACCGUCCCUGAUGCCACCACCAUCUACGCCGUGGCCACCGGGCCGCUCCUCGGAGCCCCCCGGAGCCUCCCGGAUGAGCCCCCACAGGGACGCCAUCCUCUGUCCCAGGAGCCCACCACGGUUUACGCCAGCGUGACUCUGCCGGUGGCCUGAGCCUCUCCUGGAAUCCCG
rnacentral:lncRNA from 1 species